rfam:Schistosoma mansoni strain Puerto Rico chromosome W, complete genome
GCACUACUGAGGAGUCCCAGAAUAGGACGAAACGGCCGUCCAGUGC